GUGAGUCAUCGAAUCUUUGAACGCAAAUUGCGCUCGAGGCCUCGGCCGAGAGCAUGCCUGCCUCAGUGUCGGUUUCACCCUCGCCACCCCUUUCUCUGUCUCCGGACAGACGAAAGGGGCGCGGAUCUGGCCGUCCCGGUCUUUCUCAUCGGGUCUGCUGAAGCGCAGAGGCUUGAGCGGGAUUCCCUUCUAAUGUGGGAACAACAGAUCGGUAGGUGAGCCCUUCUCCUCGAGAAGGAUCGCAUGCCGCUGCUGGACCCCGGGACCCGCUGGACGCCCAGCAGGAGACGGUGUGACGGU
rnacentral:misc_RNA from 1 species